rnacentral:lncRNA from 1 species
ACUUAAAACCUUGGACUCAUCCGGAUGGUUGUUUAGAAUCAACUACGCUGCGUAAUGGGAGAGUACUGGCAAUAAACUGCACUGAAAUCUGUAAGAAUAACACGAGGCAAAGGCUAAAGAAUGGCACUCCGUGUUUGCUCAACUACGUACGCAAAGUCAAGGUGCCUACUGUGUCUGAGAAUAUUGCGGAAGGAAUAUGCAAGAACGGAGAGUGUAUAAUACUUCCCCCCUCUCCUUCAGCGAUUAUUGCACACGUACCGGAAGAAGGAUGCGAUCAUGUGCUCUUCUCCGUCAAUUAUACGGAAAGAGUCGAGGCCUCCUGCCGCACAUUCUGUCCGUCUGUAUCAAAUAGACAUGGAAACAACGUGGAUAGAGGAAGUUUUUGUGC